UGGGGAAUAUUGCACAAUGGGCGCAAGCCUGAUGCAGCCAUGCCGCGUGUAUGAAGAAGGCCUUCGGGUUGUAAAGUACUUUCAGCGGGGAGGAAGGUGUUGUGGUUAAUAACCACAGCAAUUGACGUUACCCGCAGAAGAAGCACCGGCUAACUCCGUGCCCGCAGCCGCGGUAAUACGGAGGGUGCAAGCGUUAAUCGGAAUUACUGGGCGUAAAGCGCACGCAGGCGGUCUGUCAAGUCGGAUGUGAAAUCCCCGGGCUCAACCUGGGAACUGCAUCCGAAACUGGCAGGCUUGAGUCUUGUAGAGGGGGGUAGAAUUCCAGGUGUAGCGGUGAAAUGCGUAGAGAUCUGGAGGAAUACCGGUGGCGAAGGCGGCCCCCUGGACAAAGACUGACGCUCAGGUGCGAAAGCGUGGGGAGCAAACA
rnacentral:rRNA from 1 species